rnacentral:rRNA from 1 species
GACGAACGCUGGCGGCGUGCUUAACACAUGCAAGUCGAACGAUGACGACCGAGCUUGCUCGGUCUGAUUAGUGGCGAACGGGUGAGUAACACGUGAGCAACCUGCCCUUCACUCUGGGAUAACCUCGGGAAAUCGGGGCUAAUACCGGAUAUGAGCUCCUGUCGCAUGGCGGGUGUUGGAAAGUUUUUCGGUGAAGGAUGGGCUCGCGGCCUAUCAGUUUGUUGGUGAGGUAGUGGCUCACCAAGGCGAUGACGGGUAGCCGGCCUGAGAGGGCGACCGGCCACACUGGGACUGAGACACGGCCCAGACUCCUACGGGAGGCAGCAGUGGGGAAUAUUGCACAGUGGGCGAAAGCCUGAUGCAGCGACGCCGCGUGAGGGAUGACGGCCUUCGGGUUGUAAACCUCUUUCAGCAGGGAAGAAGCGAAAGUGACGGUACCUGCAGAAGAAGCGCCGGCUAACUACGUG